CGUAGGGUGCAAGCGUUGCCCGGAUUUAUUGGGCGUAAAGGGCGCGUAGGCGGCUCGGCACGUCCGUUGUGAAAUCGCCCGGCUCAACUGGGCGGGGUCGGCGGAUACGGCCGAGCUGGAGCAAGCUAGGGGGUAAUGGAAUUCCCGGUGUAGUGGUGGAAUGCGUAGAUAUCGGGAGGAGCACCAGUGGCGAAGGCGGUUACCUGGAGCUUUGCUGACGCUGAUGCGCGAAAGCGUGGGGAGCGAUCCGGAUUAGAUGCCCGGGUAGUCCACGCCGUAAACGAUGCGGACUAGGUGUCGGGGGUAUCGACCCCCUCGGCGCCGCAGCUAACGCAUUAAGUCCGCCGCCUGGGGACUACGGCCGCAAGGCUA
rnacentral:rRNA from 1 species